rnacentral:rRNA from 1 species
CACGCAGGCGGAUUGAUAAGUCAGGGGUGAAAUCCCGGGGCUCAACCUCGGAAUUGCCUUUGAUACUGUCUGUCUUGAGUUCGGGAGAGGUUGGCGGAAUUCCUAGUGUAGAGGUGAAAUUCGUAGAUAUUAGGAAGAACACCAGUGGCGAAGGCGGCCAACUGGCCCGAUACUGACGCUCAUGUGCGAAAGCGUGGGGAGCAAACA